rnacentral:rRNA from 1 species
GAUGAACGCUGGCGGCGUGCUUAACACAUGCAAGUCGAACGAAGCACUUUUUUUUAUUUCCUUCGGGACUGAUUAUUUUGUGACUGAGUGGCGGACGGGUGAGUAACGCGUUGGUAACCUGCCUUUUACAGGGGGAUAACAGUUGGAAACGGCUGCUAAUACCGCAUAAGCGCCCAGCAUCGCAUUAUGCUGUGUGAAAAACUCCGGUGGUAUAAGAUGGACCCGCGUUGGAUUAGCUAGUUGGUGAGGUAACGGCCCACCAAGGCGACGAUCCAUAGACGACAAGAGAGGGAGACCGGCCACAAUGGGACUGAGACACGGCACAAAAUCCGACGGGAGGAAGCAGUGGGGAAUAUUGCAAAAUGGGCGAAAGCCUGAUGCAGCGACGACGCGUGAGAGAAGAAGUAUUUAGGUAUGUAAAGCUCUAUCAGAAGGGAAGAUAAUGACGGUACCUGAAUAAGAAGCACCGGCUAAAUACGUG